ensembl:lncRNA
AUUUGCUCAGGUCCCCCUUCUGUGGGCCUUUAAUUUAUCUGUUUACAACCGGGACUCCCUCAGUUGAAACAAAAAAUCAAUGAAAAUGUAGUUGGAGAAAAGGCGGGCAAACUACUGAAAAAAAAAAAAAUUUGUGAAUGGAAGAAUGUGUUUGUGCGUUCAUUGUUAAAAUAAAGAGCGUGCCGUGACGUCAGCAGCCGCCCGCCAAUGGGAGCAAGUAUAAUAUUUUUAAAUAUCCUCCUCGCGAGCCAAUAGGAGAGGCGGUGGCAAAAACUAGCGCAGGUCCGGGCCAAUGGCGGGGAGGUAUGCUAAUGAGGACUUGGUCAGGCAGGAGCUGAAUGUCAACUAGUCAAAGAUGGAGGCUGGAGCGGGGAGGCCAUGAGGCAUGGAAUGAAGCUCCCUCCAAUCACCUGUCGCAAGAAACCAUUAUCCAGCUUCCUAACCUUAAGGAUGAGACCCUAUCAAUAUUGCCUCUGCUUUUGUGCUCAGGGUAGUAGUGCAAUAUUGCUUAUAGGGUCUUUUCUUUUGAGGGUAUUCUUCAUGGAGAGAAGACAGCCACAGCAGGAAAAAUUAAUCCUAUGUGCCCAUCGAGUUAAGGGAAAAGUUGUGAAAUACCAAGCAUUGUUAGAUAGGCAAGUAAUUGUGCAGAGAUGUUAUGUGUGACAAAUAAUCAUGCUAUUGUGGUGACUCAAGUUGUGAGUAAUGGGCAUAUUUUUGAUGCUAUCACACGGGAUUCAAAAUGGCCUUGUGUUUAAGAGGCACAAGCAGUGAUUGAAACCGCAGAAACCCAUCACGUCUCCAUUUUAAAACAGUACAAGUCCCGAGAUGUUUGAAGGGUGCCUAUUUUGCAUAACGAUGUAAACACCCACAAGGAAUGGGAGGAGAUAUAUAGCCACACUCGGCUGUUCCUGUGCCUGAAAAUCAGUGCUGCGCAAAGCAGAGCGUUGCACGAAGUGCCUGAGGCUCUAAUCCCGAUAACGUCCUCUAAACAAAGCUCACGCCUCUGCCUGGCGAACGCGGCCGGGCUCCGCAGCCCGGGCUUGGUGCAGGCAUGGCUGGGCUGGGCAUUGCCCCCAGCCUUUCCCGAGAGCUGCUUAUGGAGGUACGUGGGAAAGGAGCAGGGCCGGAGGCGUUCAAUCUCAAUCUCCUCUCGGCUUUGUGAGAAAUCAGCUGGGGGCUGACAGCAGCCGGGCUGGCGGGGUGGGUGGCCUUGCCUUCCAUUUCAGGUGGUCGCCGCGGUCCCUUUCGGGACCUCUGGGGCCCAGGCAGAGGGGUGGUGGGAGGGGAUUGGGGCCGGCUCAGGGUGCGGCGGAGCGGCCGCAGCCGCGGGGCUUUCAUAGCCGCUCUCCGGGCAGCGCGGGGCCGUGUUCUCUCCGCGGUGGUGGGCGCGGGAGGGCGAGAAGCCCUACAGGACCGCUGCCUCCCGCCUGCUCGCCCGACCCCGGCCCUGCCCUCUACGUAACCCCCCGGGCAUCACUCCGAGGGGAGGCGACCAGCUAAGGGACAAAGCCAGGCAAUCCCCCCCCCACCUCAAAGCCCGGGCUCUCCCUCCGUGCCCCAGUCCGGCGGCCAGGGCCACCGGGCGGGCUGCCCCUCUUUCCCUGUUGCACUACUGUCACGGUCGCAGCGAGCAGUGCAAUAAUGAAAGGGCGUCAGUGCGCCGGGGAGCGGCGAGAGCCGGGCCCAGCCGGUGUAACAGCGGCCGGGGAAGAGACGGGCCGUCCCGCCGGGCCCCCAAGAGCCACUCGAGCGGGGCGGGGGUCGCCGCGCUGCUCGCUCUGUCGGAACGCGCAGUGCUAGGAGAGCAGUCCGGCCUUGGCCAUCCGCGUAAAUAAAGUGCCUUCCCACGUUCCCGUCACUGCCUUUUCUUCCGGGCGGGUUUUCUUGCAGGUCUCCAGCCCCUCCUGCCUCCCCAGCGGCGGCCCCUCGACGGGUUUUUGUCGGGUCGUCCAGCGUGCUAAUAGCCCGCUUGUUCUUUGUGGGAAGUGGGUGAAAAUGGAAGAUGAGUGUCUUCCUUAGCCACGCAGCCUAAAAAACAGGCUCGAAGCAUGUCCCUGUGCCGGGUUGAGCAGCGGGGCUGAGGGGAGAAUUGGGUGAGCUGUUUACAGUAAUGGACAUCAGACUGGUGGUGUGGCUGGGAGCUGUGCUGGGAAGGCCAGGAAAUAGUCCUCUGAUUAUUAGUGGCCAUGGUGAAAUGGAUACUUCUAUAAAAGAAGGCUGGGGAGGGCUAUUUCCUUUAGCAAAGGACCUUUCCACUCUGGCCUUUUGAACCUGCACUUCGGGGCCCUGUUCCUGCUUCAUCAUGAGUUUUUGCAGAGGAAGGUGAGUGCAGAAAGCUGGAGGAGGGGGAUGCAAUCUAAUCCCGAUGAAAGGCUUUUCCAGUCCAUGCUUAAUUUCCUAUUUCUGUUGGAUUCUCUCUUUCUUCCAUCUCUCACAUGCACAAGCAGAUAUAAAAGCUGAAUGCUUCCCUGCAGUCUCCCAGGGAAAAGUCAGCCCCUUCCCCAGCUUCACCUCCAGGCUUUGCGAACACAAAAUGGCUGCAGCAGCCUGUGGGUGGGCAUGGAAAGCUCAGGAAGCUGCUUUUCUUUUUCCCACUCUGCCUGCCCAGGAAGCCCUUCUGCUUUUCUUUUCUGUGGCAUUUUGCUCUUGCAUAGCUCUGUGCAAAUCCAAGGGGGUCUCCAAUGUGUGAGCUAUGCAUGGAAUGGGAGCUGGGGAGGGAAAUGGACAGUUUGCAUGAGAAGGGGAUAAUUCGGGCCCCAGUGUUUAUUUUUUUGCUGACCUUCUGGGGAUAUGGUCAGUGAGAGCUGUGACAGCUGCUGGAAGCGGCAGGGGCUUUGAAGAUUGUGAAGGUUGUGACCUCGAGGCCCCUUUCCUCUCUCUGUCCCAGGAGCUGCUGAGUCAAUCACGGAAAAGGGGAGGUGAAAUGGGGGCUGCUCUUUAGCCAUUUUUCAAUUGGUGAAUGAAACAGGAAAGGACAAAUGCAAGAAGAAAAAAAGAGUGAUUACUUCCACUUUGGUGCAUUACUGAGAAAGAGGGACAUCUCUUUGGCUAAAGACUAUAACAAUAAUGGGAAACCACUGUGCUCCUGAGAUCCAGCACCUUGAAUAAAGGACUUGACUGGGCAAGGAGCUGAUGGCAGAUAAAUAACAAUGAAUUAGGGGGAAAGCCUGCAAACGCUGUUUGGCUAAAAGCAAGAGGAAAUCCACCUCUUAGUUUUCACCUGAUUCCAUCUUUAGACAUGUAUCACCAUCUUCCACCACCUCCAUGACCUCACACAUCUUCACCUUUGCUGAGCUUAGCUGAACCCCAUGGCUGAGGCUGUUGUGAAGCCACUGAGAAGGACUGCCCUGACCAUGCCAAAAUAAAAGGACAAAGUACAUUGUGUGUGCAUGCUUUCAAACAGCACAAGCUUGCUUGGCAAUUCACUCUGGGCAGCCCAUGAGAGGACUCUCACUCAGCCCCAGAGCCCUCUAAGCCCAGAAAAUGGAGUUUAAGUCUUUUUCACUUUCUAGAAAACAUGAUCCUAUGGAUCUGGCCUUUUAAAAUAGUAAUCAGAACAGCAAACAGCGUGCCUGGCUUUGGUUGACAGAUACACAACAGAGGCAAAGAAGGCAAACAGCAGGCUUUUCAGUUAGUUUACACAGGGGGCACUUAAAUACUGUAUGGGUUACAUAAUACCAUUUGGGGGUUGGGGUUUUACACAUACUUCUAUUAAAUAUAUCUGUGACAUUUGUUUUAAAGUGAUCAACAUAAAUCCAGCCACAGCUUUAAGAGGAAAACUCUUGUGAUUAGAUCUAAUAACACCAGGUAGCUCAUAAUAUAUUUACUGGAAACGAAUGCACAAUAGAUUUCUGAGCCCCACCCCCCAACUGUUGGAAAACCUUGCGCUCACUCUCCUUCAGUGGAGGGUGUCACUCUGCCUGUAGAAGGGCUGCCAUAGAUAGUCACUUCCCUGCAAGAAGCAAAGGCUGCUGGUUUUUAGGGCCAUAUCCUGCUACUGGUUCCACAUCCAGCCCUCAAGAUUAAUCCAACACAGACCAAAGACACGAUGUGGUCUGGCAAUUACGACAAAGUGCUAAGCAAGAAGGCAAGGCAUACUUUAAUAGUAAUAAUUUAAAAAAUCCUAGAGCCUUCUUAGCUGAAAUUUAUUAGGGGAAAAAAACAAAAAACAAAAACAAACAAAAACCCCCACCAACCACUGUUCAUUGUUAUCUCCUGAGAAUCCCACUCACAUAGGUUUCCUGAAAGCAUAUUCUCUUCCCAAUAAGCCUUCUAGUAAGCAUCCUGUUGCCAUCCAGAGGGAGUAGCAGGUGGCCAAACUGCUCCGCGGAGGCUUGACAAUGGCAUUAGCCACCCAGCUUUUCAGCUGAAGCCUCUCUCAGUCAGCACACAACUCAUCAGACUCCAUCUAAACCCUUCCUCAGAACAGUGAGCUUCCCCAGCAAGGCCUGGAUCUAGUAGCUCCACAUCCUUACAAAGCACCCACUGCACAGAAGUCAGCAGAUGGGAAGAAGUGUCUCCAACUUUCACAGCUUUAGAACCGUGCUCUUCUCUUUAAUGUGCUGUCACCAGAAGCUCCACGGGCAGAGAUCAGUGCCAUAAGGACCUAGCAGAACAGCAGGUAGGUGACUGAUUGAGAAUGGAAGUUCUUUAUUAGCAAACCAAAACCAUCCGCAUGGCACUGCACAGAAGUAGGUACACUGCGAGAACUCAGUGUCAAACACCAAUUUGGUAGAAAUCCUGCUUGCUUACCUCGGAGGUGGGAGUGCCUUGUAUUGUAAACCUUAGGUCUUUUAAACCUCCUUAGGUCUUGUAAACAUCCUUAGACGCGUGGAAUGAUCAAAUGUCAAUUAUAAUAAUAUACCAGUAAUAAAGCAACUAUUUUAAGGAAUCACCUUGCUACAACGUCAGACCUCUUCUUUGCCUUCUUCAAUCACUUAUCUGCUGUGAAGCAUCACGUUUUCCAGGAGCAAACCUUACCAGCAGUUCAGCCCGUUAAAAUGAGUAGGGAAUUACACUCUGUACAAAAGCCUCCAUCACACUAUGUCAGAGGGGAAACUUUUUUUGUUCCUCCACCAUGAAUUUCCAUCAUUUUCAGGAUAAGUUUAGGGUGAUAGCAGAAAAAUGUAUUGCUUGGUUUUUGUUUUACAGAGUUAGACCUUAAACACAUCUCUAAAUUAUUAACAACAACAACAACAAAAUCAACAAAACAAACCCAUAACCACCACCACCCAUCUCUGCUCAGAGGGAAAAAAAACCAAAAAACACAAAAACAAAGACUUCCAGACCUGAGGAAAACAGAUCUAUCAACAGCCCUAGAAGGGUACAGGAGACCGCUUCCACAUGCAAGCUGUUACAGAUGUUGAGCACUAGCAGAAUGAAAGAUUCCUCACGGCCAGCUCCGUAGCCCCCAGUACUAAGUCACUCAUUUUGGGGCAUUUAUAGCAGCGUUUGGAGCAAGUUGAAGAGCAGUUUUGCCAUUUCCCUGUUCAGUCUUUGGCCACAUUCUCUGAUCAAAAUCGAUUCCAUCUUCUUCCCCUUUCCCUCUUCACACAAACAUCCUCCCCACUAUUCCUACUGUGAGGAGAACGCUUACAAAAGAACAACGAAUCAAACCAAUACAACCAAGAAAAUACACCAAGCCAACACACAGACACUGAAAAAGCAAGAGAGCUUUUACACUGGGACAGAGUGGGGGGAAUCAUACUUAAAUCGGGAAAAGCCAAGCUGCACUGUUUUGCUUUUGCAUCCCGUGUAAGGGAGCAGAGAACGUGGUGACGCUUUAAAGCCUCGACCAGUGGAAUGGCACCCGAGCAAGAGCAUGCUUCAC